rnacentral:rRNA from 1 species
GACGAACGCUGGCGGCGUGCUUAACACAUGCAAGUCGAACGGAAAGGCCCUGCGUUUGUGGGGUGCUCGUGUGGCGAACGGGUGAGUAACACGUGAGUAACCUGCCCUUGUCUUUGGGGUAACUUCAGGAAACUGGGGCUAAUACCGGGUAGGAGCUCCUGCUGCAUGGUGGGGGUUGGAAAGUUUCGGCGGUUGGGGAUGGACUCGCGGCUUAUCAGCUUGUUGGUGGGGUAGGGGCUUACCAAGGCUUUGACGGGUAGCCGGCCUGAGAGGGUUAACGGCCUCCAUGGGCCUGCGAUACGGCCCAGACUCCUACGGGAGGCAGUAGUGGGGAGUAUUGCGCAAUGGGCGGACGCGUGAUGAGGCAAUCCCGCGUGCGGGAUGCCCGCCUUCGAGUUGUAAACCGCUUUCGCCUGUACCGAAGCGUGAUUGACGGUAAUGGGUAAAGAAGCACCGGCUAACUACGUG